UGUAAGAUAAAAUACAGUCACAGGACAAUAUCUUUCCCUACAAGAUGUCGUCCUAGAACAGCUCCCAGUUGAUUGAAUCCGACAGAAAACUAAAUUGACUAAAAAUGUAAAAGUGCAGCCGGAAAACAAAUCGGACCGGAUGGAUGAGAUUCCGUCCCGAAUGUGUUUAUUAUUCCACCCUCAUUUUCCGAUGUUGCUGGUGCGGUGAAACGACUUUGAAAUCCCUACGCAGCUUUCAGUGCAGAUCUAUCAAUUAAAGGCGGAUGAUAUAUGACUUCGGAGACUUUUUUGCGCAAGUGUAAAAGGACGAACGAAACAUAUGUGGCUGUCGUUAUAUAAAAAUUAGUUGAUGAGUCAGAUAUGAUGUGAAUUGAAUUGUACACAGUACGUAUAUAUAUAAUGCGCCCUGCAAUUGUAUACUCUCGCCUCGUGAAUCUUAUGUGUAUCUUGUGUGUAUGUUAUGAAAGAAAAAACCCGUCUGAGAGACGAGUGGUCUACUCGUGUUUCAUUUGACACCAGCCUCUACCCUGCCGAAAGUGCCAAUCGAGCUAUUUUUGCCCUUGAAGUGCAAACGCUGCUGUCCCCGUCUGGGCGACUAUUCGUGGCACAUUUCCUGUGCAACAUAUGUUUUGAUCACCAUAUUUUUGAUUUGUAAAUAAUAUCGAGUUGUGUCUUUUUCGUAUUUUUUUCGUUUGCUUUUGUAUGUCUGUAUUUUUCACUAUGCAAUGCUUAUUUUUAUCAAUCUUAUGCGAUCUAUUUUUGGCCAAUCCGAAAUAGACGAAUACAUUUCAUUUCCCAAUUA